rnacentral:lncRNA from 1 species
UGAUUAAUCAGUUUUAUCUGAACUACUCUGUUGACUUACAUUUGUAAAUCUUCUUGGGAUGUCAGGGUAUUACUACAGUUCAAAGGGCUGUGGUGAACAAAGAACAACAAAAAGAUGGUAAAAAUGAUGUCAAAGGGAAAACAUAUGAGUUGCUUGUUGAAGGGUAAGUUUUAUGUAUAGCCUCUUCCACGUUCUACAUCAUUAGGUUGUGCUCAGUUUGGUUUAGCAAGCCUGUUAUUUUCUACAAUAUAAUAUUCCUAGAUGCAUUCAAUAUCUCAUUAUUUAUUUCUCUUUUAUAGUAGAGAUUCAAAAGUUAUCCCACUUCACAUGCCUUAUUAUGUAUUUCUUACGUUAAAAAUAACCUAAGAGGGCUAAUUAAGUUAUCGGAUUCAACAUUCCCUUUUCAAACAGUUGCUUAAAAGUGAAGUAGAAUGGAACUUGGGCAAAAUGAAUU